rnacentral:ncRNA from 1 species
CGAGUUGAAGUCACGACGGACCUCAGAACUUGGUCACGUGGAACAGAGACCGCACUAGAGUUCUCUAGUUAAGAAACGGACUCCCUGGAUUCGGUUCAGCCGCAGAUAGGGACGUUGUUUCCGUAAAGCAUAGCAGUUUUUGUGAUGUCUCGUGUUUUCUGAACGCUCCUUGAAAGACCAGGGGACGGACUCAUCAUCG